GGAUCGGAGUGCGCCGGGAGCGCGCAGAGCGGCGCGGGGGGAGCGCGGCGCCCGCCCGGCCCUGCCCGCGCAAGCCCCGCGCAAACCCCGCGCAAGCCCCGCGCAGCGCAGCGCGCCCCCGGCUGCGGGCGACCGAGCAUUGGGCACAGAAUCUGUUCCAUCACCAGAGGAGCAGUGUUCAGAGAAACCCGUCUGUGCUGGGAGCAUUGUCCCUGAGGUGCCAGUGCUCCCCACGCUCACUGGACAGUCAGACUGCAAUCCCAUAGAUGAGCAUGGUAAUCCUUGGCAGCGGAUCUCCUGCAGUGCUUCUGCAGGGUGAGGGACUACCAGCCUGCGGGCAGCAUGCCUUCCUUCCUUCAUCUUCCCUCUUGAGAACCGGUGAUGCUCCUGAUGACAUCAGGGGAAAGAUUUCCAUGGAUUUCCAUAGGAACCUCAGUUGAAAUCUUGGAUGUGUUGAAGUCAUCUGCAACAGUGGAUCCAAAGGAGUGUGAAGGUCCAUCUGUGUUUUCCACUGCAAGUUAUGAAACCAGCACUUUCCUUCUCCUGGAGAGGGUGAUUUUGUUUAAGAUCUUCAAAGGGGAGUGAGCCACAAGGCUAUCUGUAGGCUUGCAGUUCUACCGACUCGUGAGGAAUUCAGCAGGGGAAGACGAGGCACGUGCUCGAUGGUGUGUCAGUCCCGGCGUGAUGGAGAGCUUCCCAUGGGAUCACACCAGAGCUGAUGUUAGUGAGCACGGCUGCACUUGGGGACCAGCUUCGUGGGGGAGCAGAGGAAAGGUUGUUCCCUCCUGCACUGCACAGCAGCCCCAACCUAAGAUUUCUUGUUGACAUGAAUAGUCUUUGUCUUUUGUUUUCCCACAUUGCUGGAGGAUGGUAGCAAAAACAUUAAUGGAUUUGGACCAGCAACAUCACUUAGAGUCUGGGAAAGGAGGAAGAAUGUCUCAUCCUUCACUACUGAAGCCUAAUACUAACUCACUAGCCCAUCCAUGGCACCAAUGUUACUGCCAGCACAUGCAGAGUUUCCAGAGGCAAAUGAGCCACUAAAGGGUACAAAGUCUUUCCCAAUACGGUUUAACACUUGAGCAACACAGACCAAAAAAGAAAUCAACUCAUGCAUAUUACCAUAUCAGAUUAGAACAAAGGACGUGAAUUCUUCAGUGAAUAAGAAACCAGAAGAAAGAUCAUGGCGGUCAGAUAAGAAGUUGGAAAUGUUGUGAGCCUUCAAAUAAAGAGGUUAAACAUACAAUUAAAACCACAAAGCAAAAUAAUAAUAACUGUUGUAAGUUGCAUGGAUAAUCAAUACUGAAAUGUGAUGCCUUUUAAUCAGGGGGUCUUUUAAACAGCUUGAGGGGAGGCAAGGUUGGAGGGGAUAAGUAUUUAAUUGCAAGAGCAAAUUUGCUACUUGGGAAGUUGGAAUCCAUGUCUGGUAGCAAGCUCCCCCCAAAAAACGUGGGUUGCAGUGAGGAUGGUGUUAAGCAACAGCAUUCAUAGCACUUACAUUGCCAGCGAGAUAAAAGGCCCUAUUUAUUAAAGAUAAUUCUUCUGGAUUAAUCUCUUUUCAGUUCUCAAAGCACAAUGAGGACAUUGAAGUGCCCUAUCCAGAUGAUUCUCUCCAGAUCUAUGAUACAGCAAUUGUGAAUGAAAGCUCCCUGACCACAACCUCUGGACAAAACCAACACUACCCUAGAGCUAGUAAGCUGGAAAGGCAGCUAUUUCCCAGAACCUCAAUAGUUCCCCCCCCAAAAAAGCGUCUGAGCAAACUGUUCUUUUACAUUAAAUUGUCCUAAGCCAACGUGAAGUGGGUUAUUGUCUUACUAGAAUACGUGUUGUUUUUUUUUAAACUGAAGAGCUUUUGACAACUCAAAAUUGCCUCCCACAGCCCCAGUGCAUCCUCUGCAGCCCGCAGGAUGCCUCGUGACCCAUUAGGCUGCAGCUUUCCUUCACUCUCCGACUUCUCCUGCAUGCUGCUGGAUCCCAGUUCCAGUUGGCACGUGGUGGCUCUCUGUUGAUGAAUGAGCGCCAUGGAGCAGAUGGGAUGGAAACAGAGCUGUUCUUGCCAUUCAGUCAGCUCCUAAUGAGCAGUGCUUUGGCACCAAUGUGCUGAGACGUGCCCACUUCUUAAGAGCUGGUUUUUCAUUUACGUGACCCCACGUGACAGCUCCCUCUCAUGAGAUUUCCUCGGACUUGAUUUAUGAAAUCUGACUUCCAGCUGUACGCUACUUGGGGCACAGACCGGUAUGAUGCUCCUUGUGAGGUUUCCAGCUUGCAGUACACAGCAGACACAACAACAGUUUUAAAAAGUCAGCCAGCGGCCCCAAAAAGAUUUGUCAAAGCUAGGGGAGGGAGGGCCAUCUUUUGCAGGUGAGGGGAAGCGAAGCAAUGCAGGAGCUGUGCUGUAGGAAAAUCUUCAGCUAAACUGUUUUCUUCCUUAUACGAUUGCCUAUGCUGAGCCUAUUCAAGGAAGUCUUUGGGAAAAUAUCUAAGAGGAUUUUUCCUUUCAGAUUAAGUGAUUUCUAGAUGAUUUUACCCAUAGCAUAUCAGCAGGGGGGUGAGUUCAGCUGCACUUUGCCUACACCAGAGAAAGAGAGGCUCACUCUUCUGAAAGUCAUCCACUAAAUUAAUGAAGACAAGAAUGUACAUUAGGCUGAACCUAUUUAGCUUAUUAAAGGCUCCUCUCUCAGAUCAUUUCCUUCUGUGUGUGUCUCUACAUCACAGGCUCUUCUGUUUGUAAUUUCCAAAGUUUAAAAAAAAAAAAAGAAAAGAAAAAGAGAGAUCGUAUCUUUUUAAGGGGUUACCCUCAGCUUUCAGCAGUCAGAAACUGUACGUACAGUAGUCAGCCUAAAACCCCAUAGGAAGAUAAAAGACCUUCCUUGUGCAGUUAAUGCAAUAAUAACGACUGUCACUCUGCUCCUCAAACAUAAUAUGAGGUGAGUGUCAUGAUUAACAAGGUGGUAAGAACCUGAAUGAGACGUCAACUUACGUUUUGUUGUGCUGGAUGUAUUACUGGAAUCUUUGUGCUCCAAAACUUUGGCUAGGAUCAUUCUUACUCUCCCGAGGAAAAUAAAAUGUUUUGUCAUUGCCAGUUCCUUUGACUCCCAUUGUUUUCACUGGCUUUGGGAACAGAUCCUUAUUUUUGCUUUAUUCUUUCAUUCUUUUUUUCAUCCUUAUAUCUAAUGAAUAGGCUGAUGCAUGAACUCAGCAAAGAAAUACUGAAAGGAAACUGCACUGAAGGAAAACAAGGAAGCUACAAAAAAUUGCAGGGAAGCCAUUUUUCCAGGACAAAGUGGAAAAAAAAUCCUAAAAGACUACGAAUUUUGUCCUCAUGGUUUGAAUACUCCUUCACUAUUUUAAUCGUGAAAUAGGUUUUAUGAAUCUGAAGAUAGUCCAGAAAUUAAGCCCCUUUCAAAAGUUUCUAAUGAUUUGAUGAAGUACAACAGUCUUUUGCAUUCCUUCAGCACCUGCUGUACAUUUGUUGAGCAGCAUUACAAACGAUCUACACUAAACUCCCCAGCCCUACAAGUUAUAAUAUGUGGAGAACAGCCUUCGUCGGCAGGAGUUGGACCAUGUGUAGCAUGGAGAGGGAGAUGGAGUCAUCCUGAGCAGUUGCCCAGGGAGCAAGGGACCCAUCCUGACCCUUCUCCCAGCUCCAAGCCUGCCUCAGCCACAGGGGGACUGGGGAGCCAGGAUUUGGGGUCUUGUUGCAGAGCUUGGACCUGCAGCUGCGGAGGAAGAACCCUGCCUGCUCCGGGCGUCUUCCAGAGCACUUUGUGUUUAGGGACUUUGCUUUGAUAACUUUUUACUUAUUUUUCUUAUUUUUCCUUUUUUUUUUUUUUUUCCCCAGCUACACUUCAGUCAAAUCCCAGUUUCCACAUGAAGUUUUGCACCAAACUGAGUGAAAGCGCUAAGAUAACCUAUUUGUAAUAAAAUACUUUCCCUUCGCUUUAGUAAACUUAGCGCUUCCCUGUGAAAACAAACUCUUUAGUUAUUCAGGUGUGACUAGUCACCGUAUUAAAUCACUAUACUACCUCCUCAGCGUAAUAAUGCAGUUAUUUAAAAUUUCAUUUUAGAAUCACUCUUCUUUUGCUGACAUUUAAUUUUGCACAGGAGUAACACUAUCAUAAAAGAGCCCAGGUGCAAAAAUAUUACGUUUUUAGUAAUGAUGUACUGUCCAUUACUACUAAAAACUAGAAAACCUAUCAAUGUUGCACAAAAUUGACUGGAAUUACUAAUCUUAAACAUUUAAGAGGACUCAUUUAAGAGUCAUGUUGCAGUAUAAAUGCCCAUGUACCUCUCCUACACUUGGCCAUUUGCUGGUAUACUUUUAUAAGUGAGACUGUAAGCUUUGGCACAGGUAAAUAUUUUUUACCAUUUCUGCCCAAAAAAUUGCAAACAGAGAGUUUUUUCAGUAGAGGAGAGUUUGAGGAAGAGAAGGGGCAAGUAUGAGUUGCAUGUUUAGUGAAUGCCAUUUUGACAGGUUUGUAUCUAUGGUUUUCAGAUGAUGUUUUGGCCUCCCAAAUGAAGUUCAGACUCCUCUAACAGGAGCAAUUAUAACUGCAGUAGCUUUCACUUCUGUCUUAAUUUGGUAUAGUAGUGGCUCUUUAUAAUGGAACUUGAAGGAUCUUGACUGUAACCCUACAGCGAGACAUACUGGAAUUAAUCUCUCCAACCUCUGAUGGUGUAGUUUACCAACUAGGUAACUUGUAGCUAACCAGCUAGGCACCUUCUUUCCUCAUGGAGAAACAUAAUCUCCUGGGAAUGGGACUGUGAGAAAUCCCAAUGAAUAUUCAUGCCCUUCUGAUACAGGCAUCUAUACCAGGUGUACCAGUAUGCAUGGCUGCUUCUUCAUAGACCAGAGCACUCAACCUGGAGGUUUUACUUAGAUAAAACUUCCAGCCUGAAGGUUGCUAAUGUUUGCUCAGAAGGAUCCACCAGAUGACUUUGACAUGUUUGGAUGUCCUACAAGGGCAUAUGCAAGUGGAAAUAGAGUUUGAUGGGAAAUUUUUAAUUAAGCCCUUUUGUUUGGAGAAAUGUCUCUAUAUUGUUUUGCCGAAAUUCAAUCUUUUUUUGCUAGCAUAAGGGGAUCGUGUUGGUUCUCAUGGUGACUGGAAGAGAUUUUUCAGUCCAGGAUGAAAUUUGUUAUCAAAAUGAAGAAAAGAUCCCAACCCCAAAAUAACCUUGUGAUGACACUCUUGAGAUAGGUGAGAGCUGGUCAUAACAGGCAGACAUUGAGCUCAUGAGAAAAUGUGUCCCGGUGAUGGUCCUGCUCUUAAUCUGGUUGUUUAUGUAAAACUUCAGGGAGCCAUGGCUUCAUUCUAGCACAAACCAGACCAUUUUUACAAUAGAAAAUUUUAUAGAGUAGAAAAUAUUAAUUCCCCUUUCGUCACUCUUAAAGAGUAUUCCAGGCAGCAGACAAAAGUCUUCACUAAAUACCAGUUGACUUGGCUUUUUGGCAGUCUUGCAGUGGCCAAUAUCGUCUUUGCUAUGCUAACAAGAGUCAGUUCACCCAGUUUUGACACCGUGAGAUUUAGCUUACACUCUCCUAUUUAUUGUUUGGGCCACUACAGUUGCCUCAGAGCCCUAGCAGGAAUGCUGCAGAGUGCAAAAACAAAUGAAAGGACAGCCUCUCUUCUGAAGAGCUUGCGAUGGCUGAUGUUUGCUCUCGGAGCUGACCUGCAGUAAGGCGGCAAUGGCAGCACUAUACUGCGGUGCAACUGAAGAUCCAAUCUUCAGGCAGAGAUGCUUGAGAGAAACAGAUGCUGUGUCCUGUGGGACAGGGAGGACCACAUCCAGCCUCAUUGCUAUCUGGAGACGUGUAGCCCUGAGUCACUGACGGCAGGCUCCCAGCCUCCUUCUUCUCUGGCCUCACAACUGCAGGGCAGCUGUCCUCCCACACAUCCUUCCCUUGCCUUGCACCUCAAACUCUCUCUCAAGACGUGCUGAAGGCAGCCUGAAGGCCAGCAACUCACAGGUAGGAGCUAAGUUCAUCCUCAGGUUACUGCCUGCCAUAUCGAGUGACCUCGAGCCUCCGGGCUGAAGCUGCCUGAGGUUGACUGGCAGGGAUGGCGUUGGGGUAGAGUGGAGCAAGACCUCUACGUGUGGCAUCUCCUCCAAGCCAGGACUGAGAGGGCUUGGUCAAACCAAACAUUAUCUAACCCCUCCUGCUCUGCAGAACUGCACUUUUGGCUUUUGAUCCUGGGUGCUUGCUUUUAUUCUAUACAACUGUUGCUAAUUUCAUUCUUAGUUUAUUAUUGGAGAAAGCCUUCCCUAUUUAAUUAUUAGAAACAGAGAAUCCAUAAUAUAUUCAAAGCUGUGAAAACUUAAUCCUGGUUAAUUUUUUACUCUCUGAGAAAAGUCGUAAUGACUGAUCUAUUCUUUCAAUCAAGUACACCCAUUUAGUUUAUUUUUAACAUUCCUUUCAUUAUGUUAUGAGCUUCUUAAGGAUAAUGAAAUAAUUGCUUGUCUCUUUGAUUGAUCUUUGUUUUGAAAGGAAACUUUAAUAGUGUUAUUUCUACAGCAGGCUUACGGUAUAAUACAAUUAAAGGAAAACAUGACAUUAAAACACAUUAAAGCACAUGUUCCAAUAAUUAGACCUACAAUCCUAGUCAUCUAGAGGACUGUGCAGGGAGGAGUUACUGUUAAAAUUUAUGAGGGAAGAAUUCAUAUUAUUUUGCUUAAUAAAGCAAAUAAAAAUAUGUUACUAAUUACAUUUAUUAAUAGCCGUAGCAAUAUACGAACAAGCUCCUUACCCAGACUGCUCUGGAAGGCCAUUCACAUGCUACAGAGAAUCCUAAAUUCUAGCAUUUUAUUUUACUAACACUAAAGCAUGCCAAAAAUAUGGUAUCUUGGGAUCUAACUUCACUCUGUGUGAAAGAUUUUGAGGUUCUUCAUCUGGGAAAUGUACGUUCAUCCUGGAUCUUCCUUUGCUGAAGACCCCCGCCACCUCUCCUGGUGCUGGCAUUGCCCCCGAGCAAGCAUCACCUCCCUGGUUCCCUGGCAGCAGGACCAGUGCCUGCUCACAGCAGGGCAUUUUCAGCACUACCUGAGCAUACAUGGAAAUUGAAAGCAGACGGAUUGUGCAAACUCCCAGGAAAAUUCAGGAUGGGUUCCUGCCCUUCCAGACCAUUUUUUUCCAAGGUAUCGUGCUAAAUGACACAUAGGCACAGGGUGUAAGGAGCCACCUGUGAUGGUUUGCUAGUUGCCAGUCUGCCUUUGGUAGCCAAAUGGCAUCUUCCAGUUACACCUCUCCUACUUUGAUUAGCAGUAGCAUGGAUCCUCUUCUGGCAUAGCUUUAGUGGACUUACUGUCACUUACAUCUUUCUGACCAGAUUUGCUUUAAGUCUGGUUCACCGGGAAGAAAAAUAGGCACAUAUUUAUUGACUGUUAAUACACAUGUUCAGCCAGCAUACAUGGGUGGUUGUGUUAACUGAACUCAUGUGUCAAGAAAAUAUUAUCUAUGAAUGCAGGACACAAUUCACACCACUGUACACAAGGAGAUCUUGAAAACAACUGUAUGGAGGAACAAAUCUACUCUAUAUUUGUUCUUUUCCAUGUUAGCAUGUCCCAUGUCCCUCAUCAGCUUUCCAGAAGUGAAUUAGCAAAUGGAAUAAAAAAUUAGUUGUAUAUAUUAAAUAGAAUUAAUGCCAGGCUUUGUGACUCUGUUUGGGACACUUACUGUAUGGAUGAACGUAUCAAAAACAAUGCUGAUUACCUAAGAUCUGCCAGGUUGCCUGGAGUUUAGAAACAAGUUCUUGUUUAGAAGAAUAACUAAAUAUCUUUAAAAUCACUUAUCCUUUAAUAAUGCUUAAUGCCCAUCUCUUGCUCUUAAAAGUGAAUUGUAUUUGCAUUCUUGGUAAACUGGAUGCUUCUGUACUGUAGGAGUAAUCUCUGUUUAAAGCUUUUAUUCAGCUAAGAAAUGGAAAGAAUCCUUAGAGCAAAGCAUCACUAGCAUAUCAAUGGAAAGUAGCAUAGAGCAGUGCUUUGACAAGCUUCAGGCUCUCAGAAGGAAGAAUUCUAGUCUACACAACUCUGUGAUAUCACACGGCGGAGGAAAGUUCAAAGACUUUGAUAUAAUUGGGUAUCUCUGAAGUGUGGAUGUGCAUCAUGCAAAUUAGAAGCGGGGGAAAAAAGAUAGAAAGAAAACAACAGAGAUCUUGAACCUGCCUGCACGUGUUGUCAGCUUGAAAUACAGCUGUGUUCCUGUGCUGAUGACUAGACCAUAAAUGAGAUAGUGUGGGCCAGCUAUACUAGACUGUACCAGCAGGCACCUCAUGGUCCUACCAAGAAUUAAAACAGAAUUGGUCAGAAAAGCCUUUCAUCCUCAGACAAUGACAUCGCAAAGCCUUUUAGGACACUGACAUAAGGGCAAGGAGGAAGCACUGGGAUCAAGUAUUUUCUAAGAUCAUCCACCCACGCAGGGCACUAACAGCAGGAAACCACACCAGCAGUUACGCAGUGUCUUACGGCGUGGUUUGGCAACUGAAGAGGGAAAGUGAAGAACGUAAGUGAACAGAGAUCUAGGUAAUGCUCUGUACUUUCCCAAACUGGAAUCAUGGGUUUAAUAUUUCUGUUCUUGAGAAGUUGUGCUGCUGGUGAAGCUGGCCAGUGUUACAUCUGCAGUGUGGAUGGGAUCUUCCACUCUUAUCGGAGGGGCCUCCAGGCUGCAGGUACAGCUAACGAGGAGCUUGGGCCUGGACCUAUCUGGACUUCUGAGCUGACGCUGGACAAGGAUACUGUCCGUGUUUUUCAGGAUGCUUAUCAGCAUGCAUUAGUAAACACAGAUGAUGGCAAUUAAGCCUUUGGGAGAAUCUUGGCACAUUGGAACUGACCGCUUUUCUGAUUGAAAACCGAGAUAGGAGGAGAAACCUUUAUUCCAUGGCUGAACAAAACAUCUUGAAUCUGUUUAUGUGUGUAUGAAAAAAAAAUAAAAAAAUUAAUUAAACCUCUACGAGAUGGAUUCCUCAAGGAUGAUAAACUCUCAGCUGGCUUAAGAGUCCUGUACAAAGAAAUAUGGGUUAACCUGGUGAGCUUUUUGACUCAAGAUAAAUUGGAGGGGCAGGGCUACGGGGCACAUGUAACAGAAUGCCAUCACCAGGAAAGGUCAUGACUUUUUUAUGCACAGAGCUGGUACUGAGCCCCUCAGGUUUAUUUUACCCACUUGGGUGUUUUUCACUCUGUGUUGCUAAUAAAGCCAAUAAAUAUCACCCCUCUCUUGCUUUUAUUUGGUGUCCCAGAGGCCACAGCCCAAUCCCUGCCAGGAUGAGUGAGGAUCCUGGCUCAGGGGCAGGUAAGUCUCAGAGCUUCAGUUUAAGGAGCAUGAGUAGGAAAAACACAGAAAUGAAAGACUGGUUUCUCUGGGAGCUGGGCAUGGGAAGGUGAGCCCAAUCUCACCUCUGAAACAGGUGAUGGCCGAAUGUAUAAAUGGUCUGGUUUAAUCUGCCAGAACUGACAAGUUGCAGGUCAAACCAAGCCUCCUGCCCAGCUCGGUGCCCCAUCCAGGUCUCUGGAGCAUGGGAGCUGAGGAAGGACCCACAGCUCCAUGAGACAAGAAGCUGCUCAAACCUCAGGCUGCUUCGAUGAUUCGUACUUUCUCUCUCAUCCCACCAUUCCCUACACAGCAAGAUGCUGCUGAUGGUUAUCUCCCAGAGGCAGGAUUCAAAUCCCUUUCCCCAGAGAGAUCUGAACCUGCAUCUCCCACAUCUUGGCUGAAUGCCUUAAAUACUUGGUAAAGGAUCUGGAUAUCCUCCUCAGUGUUGUAAACCUAGGCCAAAAAUAGUUUCCAGCUGCGACUAUAUGACUAAUUUGACCUGGGACUACUUUUCAGGGGCAAAUAUUUUAUUCACAGAAGAAAAAUAAUUGCCCUCCCCUGUGAAAAAGACAGAAGGGAAGAGGCUGUGCUGCUACAGGAAAUGAGCCAUGGGAUCUUGUAGACAAGGUUAGGACUCCACACUAAUACACACAACCUUUUCCUAAGCUGCAGUUUGAAAAAUUUGGAGUUCUCCUCUUGCAUAUAGCCAUAUCAUCACUUACAUGCUGGUUUCCAGGGUAUCUCAAAGUCACUAGCACGUUCUCAAAAAAAAACCAAUGUGAGGUAAUGACAAAAUACGUUUUUAUAGGUGUAACCCCAGAGAGACAGUGUAGGUGGAUGCCUCAAAAUGCACAAUGUCUUUCCAGAAAAACAAAACAAAACAACAAUAACAACAACAAAAAUGAAGACUCAAAUUAUUUGACUUUCUACUCCUGUGUAUCACAACAACAACAAUUUCUGUGGGGAAAGGAGGGUGGAACUUGAGCUACCAGCUCGGAAUAUCUUAUACCAGUUUCUCAGUGUGGUUCUGUUACAACAGUGCAUUAAUAUUUUCAUAAUAUUAGUAAGAAGUAUGCAAAACACUUUGUUCUGUGCAACUUCACUGGGUACAAGUACUGGUUCUAGGUUUUAAAAAACAUUUAAAAUUAGGCUAAUAGGAUCAUAUUUAGACUUAUAAAUAAAUAAUUCAAUUUUCACAUACACUAUGUUCAGCAG